rnacentral:rRNA from 1 species
AUUGAACGCUGGCGGCAGGCCUAACACAUGCAAGUCGAGCGGAUGAAGGUAGCUUGCUACCUGAUUAAGCGGCGGACGGGUGAGUAAUGCCUAGGAAUCUGCCUGGUAGUGGGGGACAACGUUUCGAAAGGACCGCUAAUACCGCAUACGUCCUACGGGAGAAAGUGGGGGAUCUUCGGACGUUACGCUAUCGGAUGAGCAGAGGUAGGAGUAGCUAGUUGGUGAGGUACAGGCUCACCAAGGCGACGAUCGUUAGCGGGUCUGAGAGGAUGAUCAGUCACACUGGAACUGAGACACGGUCCAGACUCCUACGGGAGGCAGCAGUGGGGAAUAUUGGACAAUGGGCGAAAGCCUGAUCCAGCCAUGCCGCGUGUGUGAAGAAGGUCUUCGGAUUGUAAAGCACUUUAAGUUGGGAGGAAGGGCAGUAAGUUAAUACCUUGCUGUUUUGACGUUACCGACAGAAUAAGCACCGGCUAACUUCGUGCCAGCCGCCGCGGUAACAC